GCAACUCGACUACAUGAAGCUGGAAUCGCUAGUAAUCGCGAAUCAGCAUGUCGCGGUGAAUACGUUCCCGGGUCUUGUACACACCGCCCGUCACACCAUGGGAGUUGGUAACGCCCGAAGCCAGUGACCCAACCGGAAACGGAGGGAGCUGUCGAAGGUGGGACCGAUAACUGGGGUGAAGUCGUAACAAGGUAAC
rnacentral:rRNA from 1 species